CCCGGGCUCAACCUGGGAACUGCAUUGGUGACUGGCAGGCUAGAGUAUGGCAGAGGGGGGUAGAAUUCCACGUGUAGCAGUGAAAUGCGUAGAGAUGUGGAGGAAUACCGAUGGCGAAGGCAGCCCCCUGGGCCAAUAUGACGCUCAUGCACGAAAGCGUGGGGAGCAAACAGGAUUAGAUACCCUGGUAGUCCACGCCCUAAACGAUGUCAACUAGUUGUUGGGGAUUCAUUUCCUUAGUAACGUAGCUAACGCGUGAAGUUGACCGCCUGGGGAGUACGGUCGCAAGAUUAAAACUCAAAGGAAUUGACGGGGACCCGCACAAGCGGUGGAUGAUGUGGAUUAAUUCGAUGCAACGCGAAAAACCUUACCUACCCUUGAC
rnacentral:rRNA from 1 species